rnacentral:rRNA from 1 species
CCUACGGGUGGCAGCAGUAGGGAAUAUUGCUCAAUGGGGGAAACCCUGAAGCAGCAACGCCGCGUGGAGGAUGAAGGUUUUCGGAUUGUAAACCCCUUUUGUUAGAGAAGAUAAUGACGGUAUCUAACGAAUAAGCACCGGCUAACUCCGUGCCAGCAGCCGCGGUAAUACGGAGGGUGCAAGCGUUAUUCGGAAUCACUGGGGGGAAAGAGCGCGUAGGCGGGAUAGCAAGUCAGAUGUGAAAUCCUAUGGCUUAACCAUAGAACUGCAUUUGAAACUGUUAUUCUAGAGUAUGGGAGAGGUAGGUGGAAUUCUUGGUGUAGGGGUAAAAUCCGUAGAGAUCAAGAGGAAUACUCAUUGCGAAGGCGACCUGCUAGAACAUAACUGACGCUGAUGCGCGAAAGCGUGGGGAGCAAACAGGAUUAGAUACCCUUGUAGUC